UGGCGGGACGGGGUGAAGUAACGUCGGUAACGGUAAAACCGUCGCCGUAAUUACGGUGGGGGUAAUAAACUAACGUUAAAGUAAAAGUUAGGUGACUAACUACCGCGUAAGCGCACAGCUUCGCAUGAAGCGGUGUGAAAAACUCUGGUGGUAUACGAUGGUUCCGCGUCUGAUUAGCUAGUUGGUGGGGUAAUGGCCUACCAAGGCAACGAUCAGUAGCCGGCCUGAGAGGGUGAACGGCCACAUUGGGACUGAGACACGGCCCAAACUCCUACGGGAGGCAGCAG
rnacentral:rRNA from 1 species